GGAGCCCCACACUGGAAGAGCUGGCCUUUAGGAGGCACCAUGGGGGAGUCACCUGACUUAUUCGGGAUUGACUUGCGAUGUGAACGGUGUUCCCGGAGUCCCUUGUGGCCACUCCACCACCGUGAGGCCGGGAGGCAUCUUAGCCUUUGAGCCUCUCUCCAAGGGUGAGUGGAGUCCCCCAAAGAGGGCUGGGGGCUUGCUGCCCAAGAGGGGCUGGGUGGGCACUUGGGGCCUCUGAGAACAUCAGUGAUCCGUUCCCUCCUGCACAUUGGUGGCAAGUGGCAGCAUUUUCAUAAUCUCCAGUAAUGAGGCCACUUCAGGUCCAGCCCUGGACAUCCGAGGAGGCGGGUAGUCCCUGCCCCUUCACUAACCGCAGAGGAUGCCAGCUCUAGGCCCCCUGCUCUGCCUGGAGCUCAUGCGGGCAGCCAUGGAUACAGGUGGCACCCAGCGCCCAGCGGCCUGUGAAUCCUCCCGUGGGCAAAGCUGGGAGCCAGGGGCUGGAACCAGGCAGGUUUAGGGAGCACCCGGGUGCCUCUCUGCUUGUCCCGAGCCCACUCACCAACAGCCCCGGCUUGCACAGUCAUGACAUCAGGAAGGUGGGUCCCUACUCCCAGCCGUCCUCGUCCACCAUCACUUCUCCCAGCCUCGUGUCCUGCUGACCCAUAAAAGGUCCCCCUGCAAAGUACACCAAGUGAAGUAGGAUCUGAGCAAAGGUUGAGGGACUGAAUUCCCUAAGAAGUCAUCACUGCCUAGAAUAAGCGAAAAGAAUUUUUUUUAAUGUUUUACGGUAGAAUUAUUCGAAACAUACAAAAUUAGUGAGACACCUGCUACUUUCCUUAUUCCUGUUUUUUGUUUGUUUUUAUUUUCCUUAUACCUAAUUCAUCUAACAGAAAACUGGGCAGGGUGCAGUGUCUCACACCUGUAAUCCCAGCACUUUGGGAGGCCAAGGCAGGUGGACUGCUUGAGCCCAGGAGUUUAAGAUCAGUGUGGACAACAUGAUGAACCCUGACUGUAUCAAAAAGUACAAAAAAAAAAAUUAGCUAGACGUGGUGGCAUGUGCAUACAGUCCCAGGUACCCAAGAGGCUGAGGAAGGAGGAUCACCUGAGCUGGGGAGGUUGAGGCUGCCGUGAGCUGAGAUGGCACCACUGCACUCCAGCCUGGGUGGCAGAGAGAGACCCUGUCUCAAACAAAGCAAACAAACAAAAAAGAAAAAGAAAAUAAAACUGUUUGCUCAAAAUCAGAA